AUUGAACGCUGGCGGCGGGCUUAACACAUGCAAGUCGAACGAGCGGCGGACGGGUGAGUAAUGUCUGGGAAACUGCCUGAUGGAGGGGGAUAACUACUGGAAACGGUAGCUAAUACCGCAUACCAUCAGAUGUGCCCAGAUGGGAUUAGCUAGUAGGUGGGGUAAUGGCUCACCUAGGGGACGAUCCCUAGCUGGUCUGAGAGGAUGACCAGCAACACGGGAACGGAGAAACGGCCCAGAUUCCUAAGGGGGGCAGCAGUGGGGAAUAUUGCACAAGGGGGGAAAGCCUGAUGCAGCCAGGCCGGGUGUGUGAAGAAGGCCUUCGGGUUGUAAAGCACUGUCAGCGAGGAGGCGUUACUCGCAGAAGAAGCAACGGCUAACUCCGUGCCAGCAGCCGCGGUAAUAC
rnacentral:rRNA from 1 species